rnacentral:rRNA from 1 species
ACGCUGGCGGCGUGCUUAACACAUGCAAGUCGAACGAUGAAGCCUAGCUUGCUAGGUGGACUAGUGGCGAACGGGUGAGUAAUACGUGAGUAACCUACCUUUAACUCUGGGAUAAGCCUGGGAAACUGGGUCUAAUACCGGAUACGACCAAUCUCCGCAUGGGGCGUUGGUGGAAAGCGUUAUGUAGUGGUUAUAGAUGGGCUCACGGCCUAUCAGCUUGUUGGUGAGGUAACGGCUCACCAAGGCGACGACGGGUAGCCGGCCUGAGAGGGUGACCGGCCACACUGGGACUGAGACACGGCCCAGACUCCUACGGGAGGCAGCAGUGGGGAAUAUUGCACAAUGGGUGCAAGCCUGAUGCAGCGACGCCGCGUGAGGGAUGACGGCCUUCGGGUUGUAAACCUCUGUUAGCAGGGAAGAAGAGAGAUUGACGGUACCUGCAGAGAAAGCGCCGGCUAACUACGUGCCAGCAGCCGCGGUAAUACGUAGGGCGCGAGCGUUGUCCGGAAUUAUUGGGCGUAAAGAGCUUGUAGGCGGUUUGUCGCGUCUGCUGUGAAAGGCCGGAGCUUAACUCCGUGUAUUGCAGUGGGUACGGGCAGACUAGAGUGCAGUAGGGGAGACUGGAAUUCCUGGUGUAGCGGUGGAAUGCGCAGAUAUCAGGAGGAACACCAAUGGCGAAGGCAGGUCUCUGGGCUGUAACUGACGCUGAGAAGCGAAAGCAUGGGGAGCGAACAGGAUUAGAUACCCUGGUAGUCCAUGCCGUAAACGUUGGGCACUAGGUGUGGGGGACAUUCCACGUUUUCCGCGCCGUAGCUAACGCAUUAAGUGCCCCGCCUGGGGAGUACGGCCGCAAGGCUAAAACUCAAAGAAAUUGACGGGGGCCCGCACAAGCGGCGGAGCAUGCGGAU